GCCAGAUUGUAGAUGGAGAAGGUUUUGUUGUUGUUGUUGUUUUUAGUUAGCAAUUUUCUUUCUUUCUUUCUCUCCCCCUCCUCCCUUUUCUUUUCUUCUUUUCUUUUUUAUCCCAUCUGAAUUACAGUGCUCACAGCUGCACAGCUUCAAAAACUGUACCUCCUCCCUGCUGGGCUGCAGGCAGGGAAUUACUCUCCUGGGAACACUGACAGUUUAGGAUGCCGGAACCUGGGCACCUUGCUGAAUAUCUCAGAAGCAUUGAUGUUCCAGUUCUGUGCAGUGUCUGACCUGGAGACUUACUGUGGAAUCCCAGUCCAUUAUGUCUGGGUUUAUUUUCUCUACACUCACUGAAGAUAGAGAUUUCUGAAUCCAGAAAAAGAAUGUGGCCAUCCAUCUGAUGGAGUAAGAACUCAACAUCUAAAUUAAUCCAGGAGCUUCUGGAUUUCAACAGACUUGUCUUUAAAUUCUGAUUCAGCUACUAGCUAUGUGACCUGGGUGGAGUUUGAAAAUCUUCCUCAUCUGCAGAAUGGGAUUAAUGACGUGGUGAAGAAGGUUACAGAGAGAAAGACCUUGAAGAAUGAGUGGAAUUUCCUAUGGCCGAGGACAGGCAUUCCAGGAAACUGAUGUCCAGCUACUUCCUGCCAUAGCCAGGAGCAGAAUUCGGGUCUCCCAAGAGCUUUGUGUGCUCUGUUAACGCCCAGCACUCUCUUCAUAUGGAAUCCCAGGAGCAUCCUAAACAUUGCUGAGCGAGUCCCAAGCUGAACUGGCUCCUGUUGUAAACAGCCCUGGGCUUCCAUUUCCCUCCCUUGACGGCUGUCGGGGCUCCGCUGACAUGGUGUGGACCUGAGUGUGUGCAGAUAGAAAAAUCAGCGUCGCGCUGGGCAGAGAAGCUGGUGUUACUGGAGGCCGGCGCUAGUUUGUACACAGCGAAGUAAUUUCAUCCCAGUGUGAAAUGGAAAAGGUGGGUGUUUGUUUAGAUUGAGGCCAUUCAGUAAUGAUUUUAACACUCACUGGAAUCUCUUAGCCAAAGUAUUCCAGGGACAAAGUCUAUAAUGAAUUCUUAUCCUCCCAAUUAAAGUUUCAGUCCCAAUGAAAAUGUUACCUGAUAGCCCCUUCCUCUGUUUUCAGGUUUUCGGUCUUUGCUCUGUUUUUACCUUCACGAUUGGUGGCCUAGUACAUCAUUUUCCCAGUGAAACGAAUUCUUCCUUUGGCAGCCGGCUACAGAGCCAAGUAGGUUGGCCCCCUGGCUUAGAAUCAGGUUCAUCAGAUUCAUUCACACUUUGGAUUUGAAGACCAGAAGAAACAGUUGGAUUUUUGGAUGGAAUAACUUCAUUUCCUCUACUGAGUGGAAUAGGGGAGUCGUUAAUAGUCUUCAUAAAGAAAAUGUUAAUAAACAAAGGGCCCUAAGUGUUUCCAGCAUGACUCAGUUGUCAGUUUACUGCUCUUGAGUUAGCUGUUUCCCAGUCCUCUGAGAUCACUUUCAUUUUAGUGAUGGAGGGAUGGCCGGCAUGGUGCAUGUGGUGGCAGAGGUGUGUCAUGUGAAAUGUACUUCCUAAUGAAAAGCACAAUGACCUGGCUUGUCAUUCCUUCCCUUGUGUGGAUGAGCCGGUGAAUACCAUGGGUGACUUUGUUAGAAAUCAGCACAAGAUUUGGCAGGAGUAUGGGGUUCACGAAGAUGAGGAAGAGGGACAAGAACUGAGGCCUUUGCAAAUAUUUCAACUUUCCUUCUUCUGUUCAUUCAUUUAUUCAACAAAUGUUAACUGAAGGCACACUCUGCACUAGAAGGGACAAGACUUGUUGGAAUGAGACAGCUCACAAUCUGGUGGAUGAGAUAAACCUGUGAAUAAAUAAUUAAUAUGAAUGUACUGCAUGAGUCAUAAAUGGAAUUUUCCAAAAGCUUUUCUUUUUCAUAGAAAAAAGACCAGCUAACUCUUUUGAGAGUUUAGGAAGACUUCCCAGAGGAGAUGCUAUUUGAGUUAGGUAUUGAAACAACAAGGAGGUGUUCAUGGUGUAGCAAUGGAAAUGGGUUGGAGAGACUGAGGCCAAAGGUUAUUCUAGGCAUAGAGAAGCUUGGGAUAGCUCUGGCGAAAAUGGGAAAAUGGCACAGAGUGCUCAGGGGUUGGAGCAGCACCAAGAUGUCCCCAGAUGGUGCAAGGUCAUGUAAAGUUUUAUUUAUUUAUUUUUCCCCAAAGCAUGUGUGAUCUUCUAGAAGAAUGAUUACAGACAAGAGACUUCAUGGGAAUUGAGUACCAAGGUAACUCUGAUGAUUGAAGGCAACAUAUAUUCAACAGGGGGAAGAUGGGAGUAACUUGAAAUAAACCACCAGAGGACAUGGCAGGAUUUAAUCUAAGGCAGUGGCAGUCAGUAUUAUGUCUAAAACUGGGAUGGUCCAAGAUUUUACCCUACUUGCAACUAACAAGUCAGUUUGCCCUGGUUUUAUAUAUAAAUACUGACAGAUGACAUAAGUAUCCUAGGCUAGAGACAAAGACGGUUUAUUACUCACCACAAAAACAAC